rnacentral:lncRNA from 1 species
GAAAAGAGGGAAAAGAAAUAAGAACCCUACCUGAAAAAUUUGGGGACAAUCAAGAGAAAUCAAGAAAUCAAGCAUUAAAAAGGUAAAUUUUAUUGAUUUUCCUUGUGAUUUUCACUACCCAUGCAUUUUUUUCUCAUUUCCAUGCAAAAGUAGAAAAUGGGUAUGGACACCCAUGCUGGCCAAACCUCCAUGGAUGAGUUUUGAACUUGAGUUUUGGUUGAUUUUAAUUGAAUUAAGUGAUUUUGUUAGGUUAUAUUGAAAUAUAGCAAAAAUAAGCUAGAGAUAUAAUUUUCUCCCAUUGAAACCCAUUAUGCCGAAUUUUCUAGGGGAAUAUUGGCUGCUGAUAUUGAUGUUUAUUUGAGAAAUUAAGAUGAAUAAUGAUGAAUUAUGAGCCUAGAAAAAUAAUGGGAAUUUUCGGAGCAAAAAUAUGAAUUUUUACCCACUAGGGGUAUUUUCGUAAUUUGUUAUCGAGACUGAUAAUUUGUACCACACUGAGGGACAUUAAGUCAAUUUGGGUGCAAUUGAGGUAUAGAAACUGAAAAAAAAAUUAAUUUGGAGUUUAAACAGACGAGUAUAUCGAUUUAUCAAGUAAAAGAUCGAAAUAGGCUAACACCGCGUUUAGGCAAAAUUUAGACAUUUUUGCAUUCCAUAUCAAGCAUUAGUAGUCUAAAUUAGUUUAAUUUCAAUUUAGUACCAAUGUGGUGAAUUUCUCAAUUUUGUACUGUGUCAAGGUGGUGAGUCCUCCGAUAAAGGCAAGGGAAUUGCACCAGAGGACCAGUAGUCUGAGUAUUUCAAAAGUCCCUACUCUAGACACUGUGAGUAACCUUACCAUCAUUUUAAUUAUCUAAAGUAUGUUUUUAUUCGGUCUUUGUGAAUUUUAUGAAAAUGAGUUAAAAUGGUAAAUUUUUAUGUUUUGUAAACAAAAUGAGUUUAAAUGAAAAUAUUUUAUAAAUUGUCUUGAAAUGAAAUAACGAUUUUGAAAAUAGAGUAAUUGGAGACCACUGAUAUGUUGUAAAUUUAAAAUUGAAUUAAUGGCUUAUGUUAUUGUAUUAGCAUGACUGGUUGGGCUGUAUUUUUUAUGAAUUGUAUGAAUUGUUUUAUUUUACCCUUGCAGACUGGGUAGUAAUAUAUUAGCCCUGUCAUGCUGUCAAAAUUUUAUUGUAUGGUGGGUUUGACCUGCUGUAGUGGGCUGGGUUCUGUGAACUAGCAUAUUAGAGGGGCACAGAAUCCUAUUAUAUUUUUACCUCGGUUGGAGAGGUGAGUAGGGUAACUCCCGAGGUAUAACUUUUAGAGUUCACUUCACGCUAAACCACCACGUGAAGGGGAACUCGGCCAACGUCAAGGAACGGCUAUGUUUUCAAAAUAAAAACAUGACUUUCUAAUAGCCUUGGCGGACUUAGUUGGGAUAGCCCUUGGCCAAGGUAUCCCAGAUAACUGAGUAUGAUAAUAAUUUUUGGCAUGAGCCAAGCUUUUUAAGAAAUUCAUAGCCAUACUGAUUACUUGCUUUAAAUAAAUUGAUUUCAUUUGGUUAAAAUAAGUUGAAAGAUGAUAAAUUACAGUUUGAUGAAAUGUUUUAAUAGUCUCCUUUUACUCAAUUUUAGAUAUUUUGAGUGAUGUUUGUUUACUCACUGGGAUUUUAUAAUCUCAUCACCCUCCUUUCCACCCAUUUUAGGCUCAGAAUAGAUUGUAGAUAACUGAUAUCGGCGAGAAUUACAGUUGAACUUGCCACAUCCAAAAACUGUAGGUUCAUUUCUUUUGAUACUUUUGGUCAUUCAUGGGCCCACGUGUCACUGUAAAUUAAUUUUAUACUUUGGUUAUCUGCAUUACAGUAUGUAGGAAUUUAUUUUGCUUUUACACUAUAAAAAUUAUUAAUGCAGUGUUCUUAAAAUAUUAUUUUAUGUGAAAAUUGAAUAUUUUAUUUAAUACUCUUAUUUUAUUCUAAUAGUCAUAAUUUCAUUUUAAACGAAUAUUUUAGACAUCCAAAAUUAUUUUUGAUUAUGAAAUAUGUAUUUUUCACUUACAUACUAUAUUUUUAACUGAUUUUGAGAUUUUUGGGAUAAAUGACAAAAAAAUACCCUUGUGAGACGAAAAUUAUUAUUUUAUUUGUUUAAGUUGGAAACAGUUUAAAAUCUUUUAGAAUGUGGUAUUUGGCAACAGUUACCCAUAGGGGAAAUGAGAAGCUGAUAUUAAAGCCUUGCGGGGUUCCGAUUGACAUUCUGGGUAAUGAAUGUCGAUCGAGACGUCACGGCGGUUGUCACGGGCUUGAUGGGAGUUCCGGGUCGUGACAUAAUGUGAGCCCAUGAACCAAAACUAAAUUAUCAAUAAAAUAAAUGAAUAAUAAAAAGUGAUAAAAAUAAAUAGAAAUUGUUAAAAUUGAAAAUGUUGUCUACAAUUAAGUUAAGUAUUUAUGCAAGCAUUUCAAUGGAGACUUGUGUAUAGCUUUAGAUUCUAGGUCAGUAAAAUCACUUAUGAAUAUUGUUAAUAAUAAGAGAAGCUAG